rnacentral:rRNA from 1 species
UACGUAGGGUGCAAGCGUUGUCCGGAAUUAUUGGGCGUAAAGAGCGUGUAGGCGGCCAGGUAGGUCGGUUGUGAAAACUGGAGGCUCAACCUUCAGAGGUCGACCGAAACCAUCUGGCUAGAGUCCGGGAGAGGAGAGUGGAAUUCCUGGUGUAGCGGUGAAAUGCGCAGAUAUCGGGAGGAACAUCAGUGGCGAAGGCGGCUACCUGGCCCAAUACUGGACACUCAGGUGCGACAGCGUGGGGAGCAAACAGG